UGCGUAGGCGGUUAGUUAAGUCUGCUGUGAAAUCCCCGGGCUCAACCUGGGAAUGGCAAUGGAAACUGGCUAGCUAGAGUGUGUCAGAGGAUGGUGGAAUUUCCGGUGUAGCGGUGAAAUGCGUAGAGAUCGGAAGGAACAUCAGUGGCGAAGGCGGCCAUCUGGGACAACACUGACGCUGAAGCACGAAAGCGUGGGAGCAAACA
rnacentral:rRNA from 1 species